CCUACGGGUGGCAGCAGUGGGGAAUAUUGGACAAUGGGGGGAACCCUGAUCCAGCGACGCCGCGUGAGUGAAGAAGUAUUUCGGCAUGUAAAGCUCUAUCAGCAGGGAAGAAAGAAAUGACGGUACCUGACUAAGAAGCCCCGGCUAACUACGUGCCAGCAGCCGCGGUAAUACGUAGGGGGCAAGCGUUAUCCGGAUUUACUGGGUGUAAAGGGAGCGUAGACGGCGAUGCAAGUCUGAAGUGAAAGGCGGGGGCCCAACCCCCGGACUGCUUUGGAAACUGUAUGGCUGGAGUGCAGGAGAGGUAAGUGGAAUUCCUAGUGUAGCGGUGAAAUGCGUAGAUAUUAGGAGGAACACCAGUGGCGAAGGCGGCUUACUGGACUGUAACUGACGUUGAGGCUCGAAAGCGUGGGGAGCAAACAGGAUUAGAUACCCCGGUAGUC
rnacentral:rRNA from 1 species